rnacentral:rRNA from 1 species
UUGGCGGCAAGAUAGCCCCUUAGAGGAACCUGCCCUAUAAACGAUGAACCACGAAAAACUCUACUUUUUUUAGUGAACAGUUUGUAUAUCGCUGUUGUCAGUUAGAUUCUUGAGAAUAUUUUCAUUCAUGAUAAAUUCAUUGACUUCAAGUAAAGGUGCAGCUUAUAAAAAAGAUAGAGGUGGGUUACAUUUAUAAGAAUAAUACGGAUAAGAUUUAUGAAAUAAUCUUUGAAGGUGGAUUUAACUGUAAAACUUAAGGAAGUUUGGUGAGAGCUCUAUCUUGUGUACACA